UACGGAGGAUGCAAGCGUUAUCCGGAUUUAUUGGGUUUAAAGGGUGCGCAGGUUGUUCGAUAAGUCAGUGGUGAAAGUCUGCCGCUUAACGGUAGGAUUGCCAUUGAUACUGUUAGACUUGAAUAUGGAUGAGGUAGGCGGAAUGUGUAGUGUAGCGGUGAAAUGCAUAGAUAUUACACAGAACACCGAUUGCGAAGGCAGCUUACUAAUCCAUCAUUGACGCUGAGGCACGAAAGCGUGGGGAUCAAACAGGAUUA
rnacentral:rRNA from 1 species